AUUGAACGCUGGCGGCAGGCCUAACACAUGCAAGUCGAGCGAGCCGCGGACGUGUGAGUAAUGUAUGGGGUCUUCCCGCUAGAGGGCGAUAACUACUGGAAACGGUGGCUAAUACCGCAUACUAUCGGAUAACCCAUAUGGGACUAGCUUGUAGGUGGGGUAACGGCUCACCUAGGCCACGAUCACUAGCUGGUCUGAGAGGAUCGAUAGCCACACUGGGACUGAGAGACGGACGAGACUCCUACGGAGGCAGCAGUGGGGAAUGUUGGACAAUGGGGGCAAACCUGAUGCAGCCAUGACGCGUGGAUGAAGAAGGCCUUAGGGGUGUAAAGUACUUUCAGCGGGGAGGCGUUAACAGCAGAAGAAGCACCGGCUAACUCCGUGCCAGCGGCCGCGGUAAUUC
rnacentral:rRNA from 1 species